rnacentral:rRNA from 1 species
CGAUCACCGAAGUUAAGCAUCAUCGGGCGCGGCCAGUACUUGGAGGGUGACCACCUGGGAACACCGCGUGCCGUU